rnacentral:lncRNA from 1 species
UUUUCUUCUGGUGAACCAUUUGUAAUGAAUUAUUUAUUUUUAUAAUUUUCUUCAUAAAAUCAAUUAUAAUAUAUAAUUUGAUGUCUUUUGAUAGUAAUAAUAUUUUAUUCUAUUAAUAUUUUUUAUACAUAAAGUAAACAGAAAUGCAUAAUAUGAUAGAUCAAAAUGUCAAAAAUAAAAAAUAAAAAUAAAAUGAGAAAAUAAGAAAAAAAAUUAAAAGAAAAAUUUAAACACGUAUGACCUUUAGAAAUAAAUAAAAAAUUAAAAUAUUUAUUUGGUUGAUAUAAUUAUAAUUUAUUUAUUUAUUUCAUAUUCAUUAUAAACCAAAUUAAAUGGCUUUUCAUAUUAUCCAUGAUGAAACCAAACAAAAAUAGUAAAAUUAUGUUUUGUAUAAGAAAUAAAUAAAAUAGAAAUGAAAAUAUUACACACUCC